UUUCUAAAACAUAAUUAAUAUACAGCCAUUUCAAAACCAAUGCUCCAUCCUCCAAUCCAUCACCAUUUUCAAUUGAAUACCGGCAAUCAAAAUCGAUGAAGGAGGAUUGGUAUCAAGAACCCUAGAUCUAUUAAUAAUUACGUAUCUUAUGUUUCUUCAUCAAUUCAGUUUUUAAUCGGUCUCUCAAUCAUUAUCUUUAAGGAUCUGAAGAUGUAUAAGUUGAUUGUUUCAUCCCAAUUCAGUUAUUACAGUUCAGAUUUAUUUUCUCAAGGGUAAUGUUGUCACACCCCAACCAAUGGCGGAAACAUCGGGAUGAGACGAAGUGUGAAGAUUGCUAGAGACAUCAUAACGCUAUUUGUGACAAUAUUUAGAAAAUCCAAAUUUCAUUUCAUUUCAUAACUUCAAAUAGUCAACAUUACAAGAAAUUCAAAUACGACAAGUUUAACAAAACAACAUGAUAACAUAACAAAAUUUUGAUACAACAUUUUAAACCCUAACGUCUAUAUGUGUAUCUAGGCAUCAACGCUACUUCAUUUCAUAGCAUCAUCGUCCU
rnacentral:lncRNA from 1 species